GUAAAACAGAAAGUUGCAUGUGUAACACUUGUCAUUUUCCUCGCAACUUCAUCACAACCACAGACACUGAUGACACAUUAACUUGUCAUCCAUUAAAUACAAAUCCCUGUAAAUAGACACAUUCAACUGGAACACUUGAAAGACUUUUCCCCCAGGGGCCUUACUGUAUUUCAGAUUACCUCAUUCAGAGAACUCUCCAGUAACUAUCCACCUUCAUCUUUCAGGAAGUUAGUGGGGCAGAAUUUUCAAUUUAAGAAGCACAUAUUUCUCCUAGAAACCGUAUGGUAGAAUGUCUGUUAUUCUGAAUAAUUUAUUUCAAGAAACCCCCAGAAUUGCUGAAAUUCUUUUGUACAGCCAGAGGUAGUGUCUCCAGCACUAUAGUGGCAGUUAUUAAGAGGCUGAAAUCAGCAAUCCUGGCAGUCUGUCUGAUUAGCCAAUAGAAUAAUGAUUUGACCUGACUGCCAAGCACUGAGGAUUCCUAUCUGGGGCUCACCACAGAGGUCCUUCUGGGCAUCUGGUCAAGUGUGGCAUGAUGGAGUCUGGCAGGCUGCAUUUCCCUGGUCUAAAUGGAGCUCUAUUCCAGUCUGUUUCCUCCGUUGGACGCUAAGAUCCCUAAGAGGAAGUAUUAUUUAUACCAGCAGGCUGAUUCCAUAAAGCUGUUCUCAAAAGUACCCAAUCGGCUUCAGGUGGGGUCGCUUUGGGACUCUGAGAUUCUCAUGCAGGAAGUUUACUGGCGUGUGUUCUUAGGAACAACACCUGUCCCUAAUGGCAGAGGAGAAAGAAGAAGGCAAAGGGAGAGUCUGGACUUUGAUGCAGUCACAGCACAGACCUGAGCUGACCUUGCAGGGAGCUCUGGAGUUGGGAUGGUUCUGCAGAGUCCAGUGGCUGCCAGGCCAGCUUGCAUGGGGUUGGGCAGAGCUGGUGGUGCACACUUCUUCCCAGCUUCACAUUCAAUGACAUCAUGUUGAUAUCUUGAAACUGGUGGCAUAUACAUUUAUAACACAGUAAUAGCCAAUGCUAGAAAUCAGGGGUUCUCCCACUUCCCUUGCCUAGAAAGCUGGUUUGCCAGAAAACCCACAGUGAAGAAAGAUUGCUUCCAUAUCUCUGCGCCCAAAUUCAUGCAAUAAAUCCCUUUUUGUUGUUUUUUUUCUUUGUUUCUUUCUUUUUUUUUUUUUUUUUUGAGACGGAGUCUCACUCUGUCACCCAGGCUGGAAGUGCAGUGGUGCGAUCUGGGUUCUUAAUUGUUAGCAGUGCUACAAUAGAAGGAAUUCUAUACAAUAAUCCUAAGUCUUGUAUUGUUCUAGCUUCUCUAGGCCAAGUCUCCUCUGUUCUACCAAGUAUUAUUCUAAUCUCAGGAUUUCUAUCCCUGCCAUGUUAUCAGUGAUCUUUCUUACUGCCUUUCUGAAAGAGGCAACUUAGCUCCCAUUGAAAUGGAACAAUCUCUUUAAGAUACAACUUAGUGAUAUGACCUCCAAAGCCCAAGUGAGUUAUCUAAAGAAGUAUUUAAUAAGUACUAGUAAUGACCAAACAAGAUCCUGAAUAAAGUACUCAGAAAGAAAAAACAAACCCAGCUGAAAUGAUUACUGAAAUGAUUUUGUUUAAAUGUAUUGCUAUGCCUUUACUUGUAAACAUGGUCAUUCAUACUAAUGAAGUAGAAUAACAAUAAUUAUGGCAUGUAUUUGUUUAAUGAAGUCAUAAAAUAUUUUUGGAGUCAGUUUAGGGUGCAGAAGGUAGGAGAAGAUUUUAGAUACAUUAAGCCAAGAAUUUAAGCAAAGAAUUUCAGUUAAAAUCACUCCAGCUAUUUUAAAAGUUGAUUUUAAACUUAGUCCAUCCUAAGAAGGAUAUUGCUGUAUGCAAUUCAAUAUCCAAUUGCUGUAUUCAAGUACUAUUAUCUUUAGGAAACUCAAGAGAGUUUGUAUGGGAGAGUUCACCAUUAGCUUGGGUAGCAGAAAUAUUUAAGGGUACUAUUCUGAACAAAGCUGCACAUGUAUCAAAGUUCUUUCUUCUUCUGAGCUCUUUAUAGAAAAAGGUAACUAAAGGAAUACACAAGAUUUGACAGACAGGCACAGAUUAUACAGAAUUUCUUCUCAGCUUUGCACCUUACAUCCUAUACCCAUAUUAACUCCUGGCAAUGUAGUAAUUGUAAAAACAUCAGUUAGGCAAUCAAUUUAUAAAAAAAGGCCAUAAAUGGGGGGGGGAACCUUGGUCCCUGAUUUUAAAUAAGGGCAAAUGUGGAAACUCAGGAAACUCAAUAAGACAAGCAUGGAUGAUUCUGAAAUUUAGCGAUUAAAAAGUGACUGAAUAUUGAUUAUAUCUGUUCUAUCGGCUACCACAUUUCUAUAACAAGCAUCAAAGAAGACAGAAAGUGAGGAUUCCAACAAAUAUUCUUCCAUGACAUAAAAUCAUUGGGAGCAAAUUGUCUUAUACAUCACAACUCAGCACAGAGUCUAUUUCAAUAUCUUCUUAAAUGAAUUGAUGAGAUAUAGCUAGGGCCACUUUUUUCAGUUUCUUACUUCCUCUCCUGUUAUAUUUAUUGCUUCAUUCAAAAAAACUGUGUUAUUUUCUGUACUGUCAUAUUCUACCAGGGGCUGGGGAUACAGAGAAUCUUGUGUCUUUCUGGAGACAGAUAUCAUCCAGAUAAUAAAGUAUAGUAAUGGAGAUAAUAAAAAAACAGAGGGACCCUGAACUAUGUGGUGUGCUGGUGGUGGUGGUGGUGGUCGUGUGUGUGUGCGUGUGUGUGUGUGUGUAUGUCUUGGUGUGUGAUUAAAUGCAUUUUUCUCUUGAAUGAGGUAUUCAGAAUAUUGGUAAUUAAGAGCAAAGCUUCCCUUUUUUGGACUGUAAAAUAGAAAUCUAGUUACUGUUUCUGCUGAUCAAACAGGGGAUAUUGAGAGGAUGAAGGAAUGUAGCCUGGAGCCCUAAAAAUAAUCUGGCCUAUUUUUCCUGAUUUUAAACUGAAAUACAUCUGAGCUAGUCUUUCAACAAUUCAGCAAUAUUUUUAUUUUCCUUUUACAUGGAAUUCAUAUGCUAGGUCCUGAGGACUGAAAGAGGAAUGGAGAAAACCCAAGUUGUUCUCAAAGUCUUACUAAGCAAUAAAUUCCAAAUAUCUGGUAUACCAAGAGCCUUUUAAAAUUUUGAUGUAAUUUUAUAAUGCCAUUCAGGAAUAUAAAUGUUCUAAUUUAUAUCUACCUAUAAAAUUUUAGCCUAGGCCGGGCGUGGUGGCUCAAGCCUGUAAUCCCAGCACUUUGGGAGGCCGAGACGGGCGGAUCACGAGGUCAGGAGAUCGAGACCAUCCUGGCUAACACGGUGAAAUCCCGUCUCUACUAAAAAUACAAAAAACUAGCCGGGCGAGGUGGCGGGCGCCUAUAGUCCCAGCUACUCGGGAGGCUGAGGCAGGAGAAUGGCAUGAACCUGGGAGGCGGAGCUUGCAGUGAGCUGAGAUCCGGCCACCGCACUCCAGCCUGGGUGACAGAGCAAGACUCCGUCUCAAAAAAAAAAAAAAAAAAAAAUUUUAGCUUAGAUAAAUGAAUUGUUUCAUAAAUAAUUUUGGUAGAACAUGCAUUUACCUUUAUAACAAGCAAACACAGAACAAUGGGAUAGAUCCUUGUUCAUGUCUGGCUGUCAAACUUUUUAGAUAGAGCUUUAGGUCUCUGCCUUUUCAGAUGGAGGAAACUAGUUAUUAAAAUUAAGUCCAUUCCAGGGCAUAUGUGCCAAGGAAUUUUGGAAAGUUUAUAAACUGACCGAGUCUACUUCUGCCCAGCUGGAUUUCUCAGGUCAUGCUCAGCAUAUCUUGGAAACACUGUUAUAGGAAACCAUGCCUUGUAAGCUCAUGGAAUUUGAACGUGACUUCUGAUUUUAACACGGGCUCUCUGCAGCCAGUUAGCUCCAGUGAGAAAUGACACUGAACAUCUGUGGGCAGUUGUUUUGCUUAUUUUUCUACAGGCAUUUUGUUCUAGAUCAGUCUUUUUAGAAAUGGAUAUUGUAUCUGUUGAUAGGGAAAAUGGGUGAGACAAUAGUCCAACAUGUGUACACAUGUAUCACCACCACUGAAAAACAGCAAAACAAAACCAAGAGGUUAAUGAUUAUGCCCUAUAGACAGUUGAGACAGCAAUAGUAUCUCUUAAUUUAAGGGAUGGCAUCUUGACCUGAUAUAUACUUGGAAAACAAUCCACCUCCUGACUUAAGUGGUUCUCCACUAUACCCAGGAAUAUUUGGUACAGAUGUUGGCAGCUGUGUUGACCAGAGAGGCAUAACAGGGAACCUGCAGCAGCCCCCAGAAGGUAGGAGAUUGGGAGGUGGGA
rnacentral:lncRNA from 1 species